UACCAGCACCCCGAGUGGUCGGGACGAUUAUUGGGCCUAAAGCAUCCGUAGCCGGUCCUGCAAGUCCUCCGUUAAAUCCACCCGCUCAACGGUUGGGCCGCGGGGGAUACUACAGGGCUAGGAGGCGGGAGAGGCAAGCGGUACUCGAUGGGUAGGGGUAAAAUCCACUGAUCCAUUGAAGACCACCAGUGGCGAAGGCGGCUUGCCAGAACGCGCUCGACGGUGAGGGAUGAAAGCUGGGGGAGCAAACCGGAUUAGAUACCCGGGUAGUCCCAGCUGUAAACGAUGCAGACUCGGUGAUGGGCUGGCUUCGUGCCAACCCGGUGCCGCAGGGAAGCCGUUAAGUCUACCGCCUGGGGAGUACGGUCGCAAGACUGAAACUUAA
rnacentral:rRNA from 1 species